rnacentral:rRNA from 1 species
UACGAAGGGGGCUAGCGUUGCUCGGAAUCACUGGGCGUAAAGCGCACGUAGGCGGAUUGUUAAGUCAGGGGUGAAAUCCUGGAGCUCAACUCCAGAACUGCCUUUGAUACUGGCGAUCUCGAGUCCGGGAGAGGUGAGUGGAACUGCGAGUGUAGAGGUGAAAUUCGUAGAUAUUCGCAAGAACACCAGUGGCGAAGGCGGCUCACUGGCCCGGUACUGACGCUGAGGCGCGAAGGCCAGGGGAGCAAACGGG